AGACGGAAAGACCCCGUGAACCUUUACUAUAGCUUGACACUGAACAUUGAGCCUUGAUGUGUAGGAUAGGUGGGAGGCUUUGAAGUGUGGACGCCAGUCUGCAUGGAGCCGACCUUGAAAUACCACCCUUUAAUGUUUGAUGUUCUAACGUGGACCCGUAAUCCGGGUUGCGGACAGUGUCUGGUGGGUAGUUUGACUGGGGCGGUCUCCUCCUAAAGAGUAACGGAGGAGCACGAAGGUUGGCUAAUCCUGGUCGGACAUCAGGAGGUUAGUGCAAUGGCAUAAGCCAGCUUGACUGCGAGCGUGACGGCGCGAGCAGGUGCGAAAGCAGGUCAUAGUGAUCCGGUGGUUCUGAAUGGAAGGGCCAUCGCUCAACGGAUAAAAGGUACUCCGGGGAUAACAGGCUGAUACCGCCCAAGAGUUCAUAUCGACGGCGGUGUUUGGCACCUCGAUGUCGGCUCAUCACAUCCUGGGGCUGAAGUAGGUCCCAAGGGUAUGGCUGUUCGCCAUUUAAAGUGGUACGCGAGCUGGGUUUAGAACGUCGUGAGACAGUUCGGUCCCUAUCUGCCGUGGGCGCUGGAGAACUGAGGGGGGCUGCUCCUAGUACGAGAGGACCGGAGUGGACGCAUCACUGGUGUUCGGGUUGUCAUGCCAAUGGCACUGCCCGGUAGCUAAAUGCGGAAGAGAUAAGUGCUGAAAGCAUCUAAGCACGAAACUUGCCCCGAGAUGAGUUCUCCCUGAGACUUAGAGUCUCCUGAAGGAACGUUGAAGACGACGACGUUGAUAGGCCGGGUGUGUAAGCGCAGCGAUGCGUUGAGCUAACCGGUACUAAUGAACCGUGAGGCUUAACCUUACA
rnacentral:rRNA from 1 species